rnacentral:rRNA from 1 species
UUGACCUCGGAUCAGGUAGGACUACCCGCUGAACUUAAGCAUAUCAAUAAGCGGAGGAAAAGAAACCAACAGGGAUUGCCCCAGUAACGGCGAGUGAAGCGGCAACAGCUCAGAUUUGGAAUCUGGCCCCCAGGGCCCGAGUUGUAAUCUGGAGAGGAUGCUUCUGGCGCGGCGCCUUCCGAGUUCCCUGGAACGGGACGCCGGAGAGGGUGAGAGCCCCGUACGGUUGGACGCCUAGCCUUUGUGAAGCUCCUUCGACGAGUCGAGUAGUUUGGGAAUGCUGCUCAAAAUGGGAGGUAAAUUUCUUCUAAAGCUAAAUACCGGCCAGAGACCGAUAGCGCACAAGUAGAGUGAUCGAAAGAUGAAAAGCACUUUGAAAAGAGGGUCAAACAGUACGUGAAAUUGUUGAAAGGGAAGCGCCCGUGGCCAGACUUGUGCCCCGCGGACCACCCGGCGCCCUCAGCGCCGGUGCACUCCGCGGGGCGCAGGCCAGCAUCGGUUUUCCUAGGGGGAUAAAGGCGGCGGGAACGUGGCUCCCUCGGGAGUGUUAUAGCCCGCCGCGCCAUGCCCCUGGGGGGACCGAGGACCGCGCUUCGGCAAGGAUGCUGGCGUAAUGGC